AGAACGAACGCUGGCGGCAUGCCUAACACAUGCAAGUCGAACGAGACCUUCGGGUCUAGUGGCGCACGGGUGCGUAACGCGUGGGAAUCUGCCCUUGGGUUCGGAAUAACAGCGAGAAAUUGCUGCUAAUACCGGAUGAUGACGUAAGUCCAAAGAUUUAUCGCCCAAGGAUGAGCCCGCGUAGGAUUAGCUUGUUGGUGAGGUAAGAGCUCACCAAGGCGACGAUCCUUAGCUGGUCUGAGAGGAUGAUCAGCCACACUGGGACUGAGACACGGCCCAGACUCCUACGGGAGGCAGCAGUGGGGAAUAUUGGACAAUGGGCGAAAGCCUGAUCCAGCAAUGCCGCGUGAGUGAUGAAGGCCUUAGGGUGUAAAGCUCUUUUACCCGGAUGAUAAUGACAGUACCGGAGAAUAAGCUCCGGCUAACUCCGUGUCAGCAGCCGC
rnacentral:rRNA from 1 species